UUCUCGUACUUUCUGUAGUAUCGCUUUACCGUUCUCGUAGUUUGUCGUAGCAAAGCAAAGGCUUCUCUUUUUCAUUGGUUAAAAAAAUAGAGAGAGAGAGAGAGAGAAGAGAGAGAGCAAAGUUUCGUCGAAGAUUACUCUCGUAGCCAAACUCUGCUUCAAGAUUUUGGCAAGAGUUAUUAGAUGUUUCUCUAUUUUUAUAUGAACCAUGUUCUCUCUGCAAGGAUAAUAACCAGAAUUUGAAGGCUCGUCAUACCAGCUGCAACCAACGCUGGACAAUAGAAAAAAACAGAGAAUGAAAUUUCUGCGUGAUAUGCAUCGUAAUCAAGAACCAAAGGUGAAUUAGAAGGAGAAGAGAAGAAACAGAGAAAAUAUGUCACGGCCUGUAUUGUGCCGGAGAAUAUUCCAGCUAUGACUGACUCGUCCCAAUUCGUCGCCAUUAUCCUCAGUUUAUAUAUAUAUAUGUAUAUGUUCAAGCAGGUUUUUCUUAAGCAAGCGAACUUUGACCCGACCGGGAUGUCAAGUGGCAGAGAGAGACAUUGAGAUUGACACAUACAAAAUUAGACACUUAAAUUUUGGUUCAUGUAGUACAAAGAAUAUUCUCCGGUUCACCUUAGCCCACGGUAACAACAAAAAUCUCAUCAUUUUAAAACAUUUUAAGUAAAAAUUUGACGGUCAAGGCUGUCAAAUACUGCAUCA